CAUGUACUCCCUCCGUCCAGAAUUACUUGUCAUCAAAAUGGAUGUGUCUAGAACUAAAAUACAUCCAGAUACAUCCAUUUCAAUGACAAGUAUUUUCGGAUGGAGGGAGUACAAG
rnacentral:pre_miRNA from 1 species